rnacentral:rRNA from 1 species
UUAUAAUAUACUAGGGUGAGAUCCCCUGUUUUUUUAAACGUAAAUUAAAGUACCAGAUUUGUAUGUGGGGGUUCUUGAAAAUUAAAGAUUUGGGCGGUAUUGUAGUCUAUUCAGAGGAACCUGUCCGGUAAAUGAUAAUCCACGAUUUAUUUAACUUAUUGUAGAGGUUUGUAAAUCGUCGUCAUUUGAAGAUUUUUAAAAAAUAAUUAAUAUUCAGAAUUUGGUACUAGGGGGUAGCUCAGAUCGAGCUAUUAAAAAAUUAGGGGGGGGGGUGAGUUACCAACGAAGGCUACUAAAAUGGAUUAAUAUUUAAAAAUUAAUUAAUGAGAUAU